rnacentral:rRNA from 1 species
CCUACGGGAGGCAGCAGUGGGGAAUAUUGGACAAUGGGCGAAAGCCUGAUCCAGCAAUGCCGCGUGAGUGAUGAAGGCCUUCGGGUCGUAAAGCUCUUUUACCAGGGAUGAUAAUGACAGUACCUGGAGAAUAAGCUCCGACUAACUCCGUGCCAGCAGCCGCGGUAAUACGGAGGGAGCUAGCGUUGUUCGGAAUUACUGGGCGUAAAGAGUACGUAGGCGGUUAUUCAAGUCAGAGGUGAAAGCCCGGGGCUCAACCCCGGAACUGCCUUUGAAACUAGAUAACUAGAGUCUUGGAGAGGUUAGUGGAAUUCCGAGUGUAGAGGUGAAAUUCGUAGAUAUUCGGAAGAACACCAGUGGCGAAGGCGACUAACUGGACAAGUACUGACGCUGAGGUACGAAAGCGUGGGGAGCAAACAGGAUUAGAUACCCUGGUAGUCCACGCCGUAAACGAUGAUAACUAGUUGUUCGGUCACUUGGUGACUGAGUGACGCAGCUAACGCAUUAAGUUAUCCGCCUGGGGAGUACGGUCGCAAGAUUAAAACUCAAAAUGAAUAGACGCGUGAGACGNGCCGACGACGACGACGAGGGAGUAGG